rnacentral:rRNA from 1 species
UGGGGAAUUUUGGACAAUGGGCGAAAGCCUGAUCCAGCAAUGCCGCGUGUGUGAAGAAGGCCUUCGGGUUGUAAAGCACUUUUGUCCGGAAAGAAAUCCUUGGCUCUAAUACAGUCGGGGGAUGACGGUACCGGAAGAAUAAGCACCGGCUAACUACGUGCCAGCAGCCGCGGUAAUACGUAGGGUGCAAGCGUUAAUCGGAAUUACUGGGCGUAAAGCGUGCGCAGGCGGUUUGCUAAGACCGAUGUGAAAUCCCCGGGCUCAACCUGGGAACUGCAUUGGUGACUGGCAGGCUAGAGUAUGGCAGAGGGGGGUAGAAUUCCACGUGUAGCAGUGAAAUGCGUAGAGAUGUGGAGGAAUACCGAUGGCGAAGGCAGCCCCCUGGGCCAAUACUGACGCUCAUGCACGAAAGCGUGGGGAGCAAACAGGAUUAGAUACCCUGGUGGUCCACGCCCUAAACGAUGUCAACUAGUUGUUGGGGAUUCAUUUCCUUAGUAACGUAGCUAACGCGUGAAGUUGACCGCCUGGGGAGUACGGUCGCAAGAUUAAAACUCAAAGGAAUUGACGGGG